UACGUAGGGUGCAAGCGUUAUCCGGAAUUAUUGGGCGUAAAGGGUGCGUAGGUGGCUUGAAAAGUUAUCAGUGGCAAAUCGAGGCUUAACCUCGCGGAAACUGGUAAUACUGUUUGGCUCGAGUGCAGGAGAGGUUAACGGAACUCUAUGUGGAGCGGUAAAAUGCACAGAUAUAUAGAAGAACACCAAUAACGGCGAAGGCAGUUAACUAUUCUGUUACUGACACUGAGGCACGAAAGCGUGGGGAGCAAAACGG
rnacentral:rRNA from 1 species